UUCCAGCCCAGAUUGGUUCAGUCUAACUUUUGAAAUGUCUCGUCGUGAGUGAAUGCAUCUACAUUGCAUUCAAUUUCUGGCCCAGGUCCGGAGCUGUGGCAUCCCUGAACUAUAUUCCUGAAGAUGCAGAAACGGAGGCCCAGAGAAAUAACUGAUGUGCCCACGGUCCCGAAAUACAGCGCACAGAAGGGGAGGAGUUAGCCUCGCUGGUCUCCAUUGCCACGGUUUCUGGUACUUGGUGGAGUAAAAGGGAAUGAGAAAUUAACGUCAGGUUUAUACAAGUAUUUCAUUAAGAAGAGAAAGGAAAAGUUAGGACGAAGGAGUAAAACUAUACUAUCUUGUGACUGGAAGCCUAGCAUUUUUAAAUUUUGAGAAAGUAAAUAUUCUUAAGAACCACAGACACCCUGGAAAGUAACCCCAAAGUAAAUGCAAAUGUCUUCUACAGCCACACUGACUGUCUCACUGUUUAAAUUUUUAAUAAAUUUGUUGGAGCGACAUUGGUUAAUAAAAUUAUGGAUUUUAA